rnacentral:ncRNA from 1 species
AAACUGGAGAGUUUGAUCCUGGCUCAGAACAAACGCUGGCGGCGUGCCUAACACAUGCAAGUCGUACGAGAAAGUUCGCUUCGGCGGAUGAGUAAAGUGGCGCACGGGUGAGUAACGCGUGGAUAAUCUACCCUUUAAUUGGGGAUAACCCAUCGAAAGGUGGGCUAAUACCGAAUGAUACUGUUUCUACCUUGGAAGAACAGUCAAAGGGGGUCUUUGUUUACAGAGGCUUUUGUUAAAGGAUGAGUCCGCGUACCAUUAGCUGGUUGGUAGGGUAAUGGCCUACCAAGGCGACGAUGGUUAGCUGGUCUGAGAG